rnacentral:rRNA from 1 species
GGUCAAGCGAAUAAGCGCACACGGUGGAUGCCUUGGCGGUCAGAGGCGAUGAAGGACGUGGCAGCCUGCGAAAAGUAUCGGGGAGCUGGCAACAAGCUUUGAUCCGGUAAUGUCCGAAUGGGGAAACCCACCCGCUUGCGGGUAUCCUGCAGUGAAUACAUAGCUGCUGGAAGCGAACCUGGUGAACUGAAAUAUCUAAGUAACCAGAGGAAAAGAAAUCAACCGAGAUUCCGUAAGUAGCGACGAGCGAACGCGGACUAGCCCUUAAGCUGAUUUGGUUCUAGGAAAACACUCUGGAAAGAGUGGCCAUAGAAGGUGAUAGCCCUGUAUCUGAAAGGGCCAUUUCAGUGAAGACGAGUAGGGCGGGGCACGUGAAACCCUGUCUGAACAUGGGGGGACCAUCCUCCAAGGCUAAAUACUACUGACCGACC